GACGAACGCUGGCGGCGUGCUUAACACAUGCAAGUCGAACGGAAAGGCCCUGCUUUUGUGGGGUGCUCGAGUGGCGAACGGGUGAGUAACACGUGAGUAACCUGCCCUUCACUUUGGGAUAACUUCAGGAAACUGGGGCUAAUACCGGAUAGGAGCUCCUGCUGCAUGGUGGGGGUUGGAAAGUUUCGGCGGUUGGGGAUGGACUCGCGGCUUAUCAGCUUGUUGGUGGGGUAGUGGCUUACCAAGGCUUUGACGGGUAGCCGGCCUGAGAGCGUGACCGGCGACAUUGGGACUGAGAUACGGCCCAGACUCCUACGGGAGGCAGCAGUGGGGAAUAUUGCACAACGGGCGGAAGCCUGAGGCAGAAACGCCGCGUGCGGAAUGACGGCCUUCGGGUUGUAAACCGCUUUAGCCUGUGACGAAGCGUGAGUGACGGUAAUGGGUAAAGAAGCACCGGCUAACUACGUG
rnacentral:rRNA from 1 species